rnacentral:rRNA from 1 species
UAGUCCACGCUGUAAACGAUGGGUACUAGGUUUGGUGGGUCUUGACCCCCGCCGAACCGGCGCUAACGCACUAAGUACCCCGCCUGGGAAGUACUGUCGCAAGACUAAAACUCAAAGGAAUUGACGGGGGCCCGCACAAGCGGUGGAUCAUGUGGUUUAAUUCGAAGCAACGCGAAGAACCUUACCUGGGUUUGACAUCCUUUGACAUCCGUAGAGAUACGGCUUUCGUAGCAAUACGACAAAGUGAC